rnacentral:rRNA from 1 species
AGUGAACGCUGGCGGUAGGCCUAACACAUGCAAGUCGAACGGCAGCACAGUAAGAGCUUGCUCUUACGGGUGGCGAGUGGCGGACGGGUGAGGAAUACAUCGGAAUCUACUUUUUCGUGGGGGAUAACGUAGGGAAACUUACGCUAAUACCGCAUACGACCUACGGGUGAAAGCAUGGGAUCUUCGGACCUUGCGCGAUUGAAUGAGCCGAUGUCGGAUUAGCUAGUUGGCGGGGUAAAGACCCACCAAGGCGACGUUCCGUAGCUGGUCUGAGAGGAUGAUCAGCCACACUGGAACUGAGACACGGUCCAGACUCCUACGGGAGGCAGCAGUGGGGAAUAUUGGACAAUGGGCGCAAGCCUGAUCCAGCCAUACCGCGUGGGUGAAGAAGGCCUUCGGGUUGUAAAGCCCUUUUGUUGGGAAAGAAAAGCAGCAGGUUAAUACCCCGCUGUUCUGACGGUACCCAAAGAAUAAGCACCGGCUAACUUCGUG